AGGGGGCUUAGUGGUGGGGUGACUGCGUACCUUUUGUAUAAUGGGUCAGCGACUUAUAUUCUGUAGCAAGGUUAACCGAAUAGGGGAGCCGGAGGGAAACCGAGUCUUAACCGGGCGUUAAGUUGCAGGGUAUAGACCCGAAACCCGGUGAUCUAGCCAUGGGCAGGUUGAAGGUUGGGUAACACUAACUGGAGGACCGAACCGACUAAUGUUGAAAAAUUAGCGGAUGACCUGUGGCUGGGGGUGAAAGGCCAAUCAAACCGGGAGAUAGCUGGUUCUCCCCGAAAGCUAUUUAGGUAGCGCCUCGUGAAUUCAUCUCCGGGGGUAGAGCACUGUUUCGGCUAGGGGGCCAUCCCGGCUUACCAACCCGAUGCAAACUGCGAAUACCGGAGAAUGUUAUCACGGGAGACACACGGCGGGUGCUAACGUCCGUCGUGAAGAGGGAAACAACCCAGACCGCCAGCUAAGGUCCCAAAGUCAUGGUUAAGUGGGAAACGAUGUGGGAAGGCCCAGACAGCCAGGAUGUUGGCUUAGAAGCAGCCAUCAUUUAAAGAAAGCGUAAUAGCUCACUGGUCGAGUCGGCCUGCGCGGAAGAUGUAACGGGGCUAAACCAUGCACCGAAGCUGCGGCAGCGACGCUGAUGCGUUGUUGGGUAGGGGAGCGUUCUGUAAGCCUGCGAAGGUGGCCUGUGAGGGUUGCUGGAGGUAUCAGAAGUGCGAAUGCUGACAUAAGUAACGAUAAAGCGGGUGAAAAGCCCGCUCGCCGGAAGACCAAGGGUUCCUGUCCAACGUUAAUCGGGGCAGGGUGAGUCGACCCCUAAGGCGAGGCCGAAAGGCGUAGUCGAUGGGAAACGGGUUAAUAUUCCCGUACUUGGUGUUACUGCGAAGGGGGGACGGAGAAGGCUAUGUUGGCCGGGCGACGGUUGUCCCGGUUUAAGCGUGUAGGUGUGUGUUCCAGGUAAAUCCGGUUCACUUUAACACUGAGGCGUGAUGACGAGGCACUACGGUGCUGAAGCAACAAAUGCCCUGCUUCCAGGAAAAGCCUCUAAGCAUCAGGUAACAUCAAAUCGUACCCCAAACCGACACAGGUGGUCAGGUAGAGAAUACCAAGGCGCUUGAGAGAACUCGGGUGAAGGAACUAGGCAAAAUGGUGCCGUAACUUCGGGAGAAGGCACGCUGACACGUAGGUGAAGUGAUUUACUCAUGGAGCUGAAGUCAGUCGAAGAUACCAGCUGGCUGCAACUGUUUAUUAAAAACACAGCACUGUGCAAACACGAAAGUGGACGUAUACGGUGUGACGCCUGCCCGGUGCCGGAAGGUUAAUUGAUGGGGUCAGCGCAAGCGAAGCUCCUGAUCGAAGCCCCGGUAAACGGCGGCCGUAACUAUAACGGUCCUAAGGUAGCGAAAUUCCUUGUCGGGUAAGUUCCGACCUGCACGAAUGGCGUAAUGAUGGCCAGGCUGUCUCCACCCGAGACUCAGUGAAAUUGAACUCGCUGUGAAGAUGCAGUGUACCCGCGGCAAGACGGAAAGACCCCGUGAACCUUUACUAUAGCUUGACACUGAACAUUGAGCCUUGAUGUGUAGGAUAGGUGGGAGGCUUUGAAGUGUGGACGCCAGUCUGCAUGGAGCCGGCCUUGAAAUACCACCCUUUAAUGUUUGAUGUUCUAACGUGGACCCGUGAUCCGGGUUGCGGACAGUGUCUGGUGGGUAGUUUGACUGGGGCGGUCUCCUCCUAAAGAGUAACGGAGGAGCACGAAGGUUGGCUAAUCCUGGUCGGACAUCAGGAGGUUAGUGCAAUGGCAUAAGCCAGCUUGACUGCGAGCGUGACGGCGCGAGCAGGUGCGAAAGCAGGUCAUAGUGAUCCGGUGGUUCUGAAUGGAAGGGCCAUCGCUCAACGGAUAAAAGGUACUCCGGGGAUAACAGGCUGAUACCGCCCAAGAGUUCAUAUCGACGGCGGUGUUUGGCACCUCGAUGUCGGCUCAUCACAUCCUGGGGCUGAAGUAGGUCCCAAGGGUAUGGCUGUUCGCCAUUUAAAGUGGUACGCGAGCUGGGUUUAGAACGUCGUGAGACAGUUCGGUCCCUAUCUGCCGUGGGCGCUGGAGAACUGAGGGGGGCUGCUCCUAGUACGAGAGGACCGGAGUGGACGCAUCACUGGUGUUCGGGUUGUCAUGCCAAUGGCACUGCCCGGUAGCUAAAUGCGGAAGAGAUAAGUGCUGAAAGCAUCUAAGCACGAAACUUGCCCCGAGAUGAGUUCUCCCUGAGACUUAGAGUCUCCUGAAGGAACGUUGAAGACGACGACGUUGAUAGGCCGGGUGUGUAAGCGCAGCGAUGCGUUGAGCUAACCGGUACUAAUGAACCGUGAGGCUUAACCUUACA
rnacentral:rRNA from 1 species